rnacentral:tRNA from 1 species
GCCCGGGUGGCUCAGUGGUUUAGCGCCUGCCUUCCGCCCAGGGCGUGAUCCUGGAGUCCUGGGAUCGAGUCCCGGGCCGGGCU